rnacentral:tRNA from 1 species
GCCUGGGUAGCUCAGUUGGUAGAGCACGUCUUUGGUAAAGACGAGGUCGCCGGUUCAAUCCCGGCCUCAGGCU